UAAUUGUAGCUGAACAGAAGCAACAUGUGAUCGUGUAACAAUAAGACAAAGAUGUGGUCCUUACCUGCGCUCAAAUCGUCUUAUAAUUGCUUCAUCAAGGUCAAAUGGUCUGUUCGUUGCAGCAAGAACCAGAAUUUGCUCACCAGGUCUUGUUAAUAGCCCAUCCCAGUGUGUCAUGAAUUCAUUUUUAAUCUUCCGCAUGGCCUCGUGCUCUCCAACUCUAGUUCGCUGGCCAAGCAUGCUGUCAACCUCAUCGACGAAGAUAAUAGUUGGGGCAACCUUUGCUGCUAGUGUGAACAGAGCUCGGACAUUCUUUUCAUCUUCACCAAACCAUUUUGAAGUGAUGGUGGACAUUGAGACAUUGUACUAUGUCCUUCCUUCUCUCCUGCUGUAUUAGCUCCCUAACAGGUCGAUAAGCCGCAGUGAUGCACAAAUUCUGUUUAAAAAAAUUAUAGUUUGAUCAUAACCCCAAAAAAGAACUAAUUAGUUGGAAUCACUAACAAUAUCAACCUUAAGAUCACUUCCACUAAAUCCUUCAGUCAUGGUUGCGAGUUCCUUGAAGUCUAAGUUUUCAUGUUUUUCCUUAGCUAGAAGAGUUUUUAGGAUCAAUUCCCUGUUAUCAGCAGAUGGAAGACCAACCAUAAUCCUGCUCCACAUUAAAAGGAUAAAGAUGUUAUUUAUAAAUCAGAAGAACACUAUCAUUUAUUCGAAAAGCAAAAGUUGUCCAAUGGUAUUGCUAAUAGAUGACGCGGCCAGUGUUCAUGAUUAAUGAGUACUGUUCUUGCACAGUUGAAAACAACACUUGAUAAAUCAUUCUCAUGGAAUCUAUCUAAUUGAUUCAAUUACUGAACAGUUCCAAUGGCUAAGAGACAGAAAGUGUUGCUGAAAGAGUUGAGACACAAGCUACAGAAUGUCGUGUCUCCCGUGAGAGCGAUGUUCUAGCUACAUACAAAAUAAGAAUGGACGUCUCAAAAGGAAAUCUAAACUGCAUAAAUGAAAGGAUUGAAUAAUUGGGAUGCCAUGCUUCUUUUCCUUCAAAAGAAUUUUUUUUUUGAUGAAAUAUAUUUUUAUAAUGAACUUCCUUGUUUUGUUAUGAUACCUUUCUUUGAUCUAAUGGAAAAAUAAUUGUAGCUGAACAGAAGCAACAUGUGAUCGUGUAACAAUAAGACAAAGAUGUGGUCCUUACCUGCGCUCAAAUCGUCUUAUAAUUGCUUCAUCAAGGUCAAAUGGUCUGUUCGUUGCAGCAAGAACCAGAAUUUGCUCACCAGGUCUUGUUAAUAGCCCAUCCCAGUGUGUCAUGAAUUCAUUUUUAAUCUUCCGCAUGGCCUCGUGCUCUCCAACUCUAGUUCGCUGGCCAAGCAUGCUGUC
rnacentral:lncRNA from 1 species